rnacentral:rRNA from 1 species
UACGUAGGGUGCAAGCGUUAAUCGGAAUUACUGGGCGUAAAGCGUGCGCAGGCGGCUUUGCAAGACAGAUGUGAAAUCCCCGGGCUUAACCUGGGAACUGCAUUUGUGACUGCAUGGCUGGAGUGCGGCAGAGGUGGAUGGAAUUCCGCGUGUAGCAGUGAAAUGCGUAGAUAUGCGGAGGAACACCGAUGGCGAAGGCAAUCCCCUGGGCCUGCACUGACGCUCAUGCACGAAAGCGUGGGGAGCAAACAGG